UGAGUGCAUAUAGAGAGGAAUACCUCAGCAACCUAGUUGCCAACUAAGGUGCUUUUUGAUGUGGUUAUACAACAAAAAAAUGGCGUUC
ncrna:unclassified sequences SAM-I/IV variant riboswitch